rnacentral:rRNA from 1 species
GAUGAACGCUAGCGGCAGGCUUAACACAUGCAAGUCGAGGGGCAUCGGGAGGGAAGCUUGCUUUCCUUGCCGGCGACCGGCGCACGGGUGAGUAACACGUAUGCAACCUGCCCUCUUCAGGGGGACAACCUUCCGAAAGGGAGGCUAAUCCCGCGUAUAUCGGUUUCGGGCAUCCGAGAUCGAGGAAAGAUUCAUCGGAAGAGGAUGGGCAUGCGGCGCAUUAGCUUGACGGCGGGGUAACGGCCCACCGUGGCGACGAUGCGUAGGGGUUCUGAGAGGAAGGUCCCCCACACUGGUACUGAGACACGGACCAGACUCCUACGGGAGGCAGCAGUGAGGAAUAUUGGUCAAUGGGAGAGAUCCUGAACCAGCCAAGCCGCGUGAGGGAAGACGGCCCUAUGGGUUGUAAACCUCUUUUGUCGGAGAACAAAACCCGGGACGUGUCCCGGACUGCGUGUAUCCGAAGAAAAAGCAUCGGCUAACUCCGUGCCAGCAGCCGCGGUAAUACGGAGGAUGCGAGCGUUAUCCGGAUUUAUUGGGUUUAAAGGGUGCGUAGGCGGUCCGUUAAGUCAGCGGUAAAAUUGCGGGGCUCAACCCCGUCGAGCCGUUGAAACUGGCAGACUUGAGUUGACGAGAAGUACGCGGAAUGCGCGGUGUAGCGGUGAAAUGCAUAGAUAUCGCGCAGAACUCCGAUUGCGAAGGCAGCGUACCGGCGCCAGACUGACGCUGAGGCACGAAAGCGUGGGGAUCGAACAGGAUUAGAUACCCUGGUAGUCCACGCAGUAAACGAUGAAUGCUGGUUGUCCGGGUCGAAUGAGAUCUGGGCGGCGAAGCGAAAGCGAUAAGCAUUCCACCUGGGGAGUACGCCGGCAACGGUGAAACUCAAAGGAAUUGACGGGGGCCCGCACAAGCGGAGGAACAUGUGGUUUAAUUCGAUGAUACGCGAGGAACCUUACCCGGGCUCAAACGGGAGUGGAAUGGACCAGAGACGGUUCAGCCUACGGGCCGCUUCCGAGGUGCUGCAUGGUUGUCGUCAGCUCGUGCCGUGAGGUGUCGGCUUAAGUGCCAUAACGAGCGCAACCCCCGCCGGCAGUUGCUAACGGGCAAUGCCGAGGACUCUGCCGGGACUGCCGCCGCAAGGCGAGAGGAAGGCGGGGAUGACGUCAAAUCAGCACGGCCCUUACGUCCGGGGCGACACACGUGUUACAAUGGGCGGUACAGCGGGAAGCCAGGCGGCGACGCCGAGCGGAACCCGAAAGCCGUUCUCAGUUCGGAUCGGAGUCUGCAACCCGACUCCGUGAAGCUGGAUUCGCUAGUAAUCGCGCAUCAGCCAUGGCGCGGUGAAUACGUUCCCGGGCCU